AUGUAUUUUUCCAUUACUAUAAUAACCUUAAUCUCCUUAACCUUACCAAUUAUUAUUACCUUUAUCAACCCUCACAAAAAGAACUCAUAUCCAUACUAUGUAAAAAUAGCUGUCGCAUGCACUUUCACCAUUAGCCUCAUUCCCACAACAUUUAUGUGUACAGACCAAGAAACCAUCAUCUCAAACUGAUAUUGAAUAACAAUCCAAACCCUAAAACUCUCAUUAAGCUUCAAACUAGACUAAUUCUCCAUAAUGUUUAUUCUAGUAGCACUAUUUAUCACUUGAUCUAUUAUAGAAUUCUCAAUAUGAUAUAUGAAGGCAGAUCUGAACAUUAAUCAGUUUUUCAAAUACCUACUUAUUUUCCUCACCACAAUAUUAAUUCUAGUUACUGCCAACAACAUUUUCCAACUCUUUAUCAGAUGAGAGGGUGUAGGAAUUAUAUCUUUUCUACUAAUUGGCUGAUGACAUGGCCAAGCAGAUGCUAACACAGCAGCCCUCCAAGCAAUUCUAUACAAUCGCAUUGGUGACAUUGGCUUUAUUUUAGCUAUAGCAUGAUUCCUCUCAUCAUCCAAUACAUGAGAGCCUCAACAAAUACUUAUCCUUAACCCUACCCCCAACCUUCUUCCAUUAAUUGGUUUUCUCUUAGCAGCAGCAGGAAAAUCAGCCCAACUUGGCCUCCACCCCUGACUUCCUUCCGCCUUGGAAGGCCCAACCCCAGUCUCAGCCCUACUUCACUCUAGCACUAUAGUUGUGGUGGGAGUUUUCCUACUUACCCGCUUCCACCCCUCAACAUCACUAA
rnacentral:lncRNA from 1 species